rnacentral:rRNA from 1 species
UACGUAGGGUGCAAGCGUUGUCCGGAAUUAUUGGGCGUAAAGCGUCCGCAGGCGGCUUUUUAAGUCUGUUGUCAAAGCCCACAGCUCAACUGUGGAUCGGCAAUGGAAACUGGGAAGCUAGAGUGUGGUAGGGGUAGAGGGAAUUCCCGGUGUAGUGGUGAAAUGCGUAGAUAUCGGGAGGAACACCAGUGGCGAAGGCGGCAUCCUGGACCGACAUUGACGCUGAGGCGCGAAAGCCAGGGGAGCAAACGGG